rnacentral:rRNA from 1 species
CCUACGGGAGGCAGCAGUGGGGAAUAUUGCACAAUGGGGGAAACCCUGAUGCAGCGACGCCGCGUGAGUGAAGAAGUAAUUCGUUAUGUAAAGCUCUAUCAGCAGGGAAGAAAAUGACGGUACCUGAGUAAGAAGCCCCGGCUAACUACGUGCCAGCAGCCGCGGUAAUACGUAGGGGGCAAGCGUUAUCCGGAUUUACUGGGUGUAAAGGGAGCGUAGACGGCAGUGCAAGUCUGGAGUGAAAGGCGGGGGCUCAACCCCCGGACUGCUCUGGAAACUGUACGGCUGGAGUGCAGGAGAGGUAAGUGGAAUUCCUAGUGUAGCGGUGAAAUGCGGAGAUAGUAGGAGGAACACCAGUGGCGAAGGCGGCUUACUGGACUGUAACUGACGUUGAGGCUCGAAAGCGUGGGGAGCAAACAGGAUUAGAUACCCCAGUAGUC